GUGACACAGGAAAAGUGAAUUGGUUUUCCAUUUAGUUUUCGAUAAAAUGCGAUCAAUGUGAUUUUUUUAAUUCAGUGCACACUGGAAUGAUUGAAAAUAAUGUUUCACACAUUAAUGCAGGUGUUAUACUUGGUGCCAGGUUGAAACACAGGCUUGAAUAAAAUCCUAGCAUGUGUAGAUAUUCCAAGUUGUUCAAAUGACUUAUACAAAUGACAUAAAAAUGAUUGAUCAGCAAUUGAAUUAGAAGCAACUGACAAUUAUAAACGAGCUGCUUUAAAAAGAAGAAAGCUAGAGAUCAAAAAUAUUGAACUUGUGUGAACAAUUAUAAGAUAUGUGAACAAUUGAACAAAUUUAAUAUGUUAUAAUUAUGUAAACUACAAAAUAAAAAAUAAUUGUAAAAAAU
rnacentral:sRNA from 1 species